AAUAAGCGGAGGAAAAGAAACUAACAAGGAUUCCCCUAGUAACUGCGAGUGAAGCGGGAAAAGCUCAAAUUUGAAAUCUGGCGGUGUUUUUACUGUCCGAGUUGUAAGCUAGAGAAGUGCAGCCUGCGCUGAACCGUGUAUAAGUCUUCUGGAAUGGGGCAUCAUAGAGGGUGAGAAACCCGUCUUUGACACGGAGUACCAGUGCAUUGUGGUUGUGCGCUCAACGAGUCGAGUUGUUUGGGAAUGCAGCUCUAAAUGGGUGGUAAAUUCCAUCUAAAGCUAAAUAUUGGCGAGAGACCGAUAGCGAACAAGUACCGUGAGGGAAAGAUGAAAAGAACUUUGGAAAGAGAGUUAAAAAGUAUGUGAAAUUGUUGAAAGGGAAACAUUUGAAGUCAGAGAUAUUGACUGGGGAUCAACUUGGGAAAAUAGCUGAGUGUGAUUCCUGGUUAAUGGGCCAACAUCAGUUUUUGACUGCUAGAGAAAGGCCAAGGGAAUGUGGCACCUAUGGGUGUGUUAUAGCUCUUGGUUGUAUGUAGUGGUUAGGACUGAGGAAAGCAGCGUGCCUUAUGGAGGGGUUUCGACCACAUUCACGCUUAGGAUGUUGGCAUUG
rnacentral:rRNA from 1 species